rnacentral:rRNA from 1 species
CAGCACCUCAAGUGGUCAGGAUGAUUAUUGGGCCUAAAGCAUCCGUAGCCGGCGCUGUAAGUUUUCGGUUAAAUCUGUACGCUCAACGUACAGGCUGCCGGGAAUACUGCAGCGCUAGGGAGUGGGAGAGGUAGACGGUACUCGGUAGGAAGGGGUAAAUCCUUUGAUCUAUUGAUGACCACCUGUGGCGAAGGCGGUCUACCAGAACACGUCCGACGGUGAGGGAUGAAAGCUGGGGGAGCAAACCGGAUUAGAUACCCGAGUAGUCC